rnacentral:rRNA from 1 species
GAUGAACGCUAGCUACAGGCUUAACACAUGCAAGUCGAGGGGCAGCGGGAUUGAAGCUUGCUUCAAUUGCCGGCGACCGGCGCACGGGUGAGUAACGCGUAUCCAACCUUCCGUACACUCAGGGAUAGCCUUUCGAAAGAAAGAUUAAUACCUGAUGGUAUGAUGAGAUUGCAUGAUAACAUCAUUAAAGAUUCAUCGGUGUACGAUGGGGAUGCGUUCCAUUAGGUAGUAGGCGGGGUAACGGCCCACCUAGCCUACGAUGGAUAGGGGUUCUGAGAGGAAGGUCCCCCACAUUGAAACUGAGACACGGUCCAAACUCCUACGGGAGGCAGCAGUGAGGAAUAUUGGUCAAUGGACGAGAGUCUGAACCAGCCAAGUAGCGUGAAGGAUGAAGGUCCUACGGAUUGUAAACUUCUUUUAUAAGGGAAUAAAACCUCCCACGUGUGGGAGCUUGUAUGUACCUUAUGAAUAAGCAUCGGCUAACUCCGUGCCAGCAGCCGCGGUAACAC